AUACGUAGGGUGCAAGCGUUAAUCGGAAUUACUGGGCGUAAAGCGUGCGCAGGCGGUUUUGUAAGACAGAGGUGAAAUCCCCGGGCUCAACCUGGGAACUGCCUUUGUGACUGCAAGGCUAGAGUGCGGCAGAGGGGGAUGGAAUUCCGCGUGUAGCAGUGAAAUGCGUAGAUAUGCGGAGGAACACCGAUGGCGAAGGCAAGCCCCUGGGCCUGUACUGACUCUCAUGCACGAAAGCGUGUGGAGCAAACAGGAUUAGAUACCCUGGUAGUCCACUCCCUAAACGAUGUCAACUGGUUGUUGGGGAUUUAUUUUCGCAGUAACGAAGCUAACGCGUGAAGUUGACCGCCUGGGGAGUACGGCCGCAAGGUUAAAACUUAAAGGAAUUGACGGGG
rnacentral:rRNA from 1 species